AGGCCGAUACCCCUGCGACAUUAUUAUAUGGGAGGAUUCCAUGCUGAUCUGAAACCGACAUCGGGCAGAUGUAUGUGUGCUGUCUGGGAAGGGGUUCACAUGCAGUAU